GCCGGAGUGGUGGAAUUGGUAGACACAAGGGACUUAAAAUCCCUCGGGCUUCGGCUCGUGCCGGUUCAAGUCCGGCCUCUGGUACCA
rnacentral:tRNA from 1 species